rnacentral:rRNA from 1 species
AGAGUUUGAUCCUGGCUCAGGAUGAACGCUAGCGGCAGGCUUAACACAUGCAAGUCGAGGGGCAGCAUUUACUUCGGUAAGAUGGCGACCGGCGCACGGGUGCGUAACGCGUAUGCAACCUACCUUUAACAGGAGGAUAGCCCCGAGAAAUCGGGAUUAAUACUCCAUAACAUCGUUGAACCGCAUGGUUUAAUGAUUAAAGCUCCGGCGGUUAAAGAUGGGCAUGCGUGACAUUAGUUAGUUGGUGAGGUAAGGGCUCACCAAGACAUCGAUGUCUAGGGGUUCUGAGAGGAUGAUCCCCCACACUGGUACUGAGACACGGACCAGACUCCUACGGGAGGCAGCAGUGAGGAAUAUUGCACAAUGGAGGAAACUCUGAUGCAGCAACGCCGCGUGGAGGAUGACGCAUUUCGGUGUGUAAACUCCUUUUAUAUGUCAAGAAAAUGACGGUAGCAUAUGAAUAAGCACCGGCUAACUCCGUGCCAGCAGCCGCGGUAAUACGGAGGGUGCAAGCGUUAUCCGGAUUCAUUGGGUUUAAAGGGUUCGCAGGCGGCAUAAUAAGUCAGUGGUGAAAUCCCUCGGCUCAACCGAGGAACUGCCAUUGAAACUGUUAUGCUAGAGUAUAGUUGGCGUAGGCGGAAUGUAUCAUGUAGCGGUGAAAUGCUUAGAUAUGAUACAGAACACCGAUCGCGAAGGCAGCUUACGAAACUAUAACUGACGCUCAGGAACGAAAGCGUGGGUAGCGAACAGGAUUAGAUACCCUGGUAGUCCACGCCGUAAACUAUGAUUACUCGUUGUCGGCGAUACACAGUCGGUGGCUAAGCGAAAGUGAUAAGUAAUCCACCUGGGGAGUACGAUCGCAAGGUUGAAACUCAAAGGAAUUGACGGGGGCCCGCACAAGCGGUGGAGCAUGU